AUUUUCUGCCACCGAAUACAUUAGCAUGGGAUAAUGGAAUAGGACCCUGUCCUCCUAUUUUCAGUUGGUUUUGGCAGCGCGAGGACUAGGGUAAUGAUUAAUAGGGAUAGUUGGGGGCAUUAAUAUUUAAUUGUCAGAGGUGAAAUUCUUGGAUUUAUGAAAGAUUAACUUCUGCGAAAGCAUCUGCCAAGGAUGUUUUCAUUAAUCAAGAACGAAAGUUAGGGGAUCGAAGACGAUCAGAUACCGUCGUAGUCUUAACCAUAAACGAUGCCGACCAGCGAUUAGGAGACGUUGAAUACAAAACACCACCAUCGGCGCGGUCGUCCUUGGCGUCGGUCCUUCACGGGGCCGGCGCGAGGGCGGCUUAGCCCGGUGGCACCGGUGAAUGACUCCCCUAGC
rnacentral:rRNA from 1 species